AACAGGGCGACAGGCAGACCUGGAGUCUGGACGCACUUCACACACAUUUCUGCCAAAAACUCCACAGGAAAAAAAACCACAGUGACGGGCCUGAAGAUGUUUCAGCAGGACAGGACAGGUUUUAAAGUAUCUGCUCUGUAUUUCCUGCUGCUGAUACUGAUGCAGCGUUACAUCACAACAUAUUGAUCUAACACGUAGUUAAGAUCAGCCAAGUGUGAGGAAACAUUCCCAUCAGCUUUGUUAUGAGUCUCAGUACGAGGAGGAGACAUUAUAACAUGACAGGAGAUGAAUGCAACAAACUACAGACAGAAUUAAACUGCAGAGCCGCUGCUGCUGGACUUAAAUGUAAAAUACAACUUUAACAGUCGAGCAAACAAUUUCCCCCCGGGGAUUAAUAAAGUAUUCUGAAUCUGAAUCUGAAUCUGAAUCUAACGUUAGUGUCACCGACUGUUCUGUUUGUGUGUCCCUCUUGAGUUGCCGUAGGGCAGAGAAAGUUUGGGGACUUGUGCUUGUGUGAGAGUUUUGGUGUGAAGAAAACUGAACGGGCAGCGUUCACUGUUGGAGCUGUUACACCGUCUGCUGAAUCCAGGACGCUCGGCUACAUCAGUUAUAUUAACGAGACCCAGAGUCUACAGCCACGCUGACAUGUUGGCAUUCAUCAAGUUGUCAUGCUAUCAUUUGCUCAUUAGCACUGAGCAGUGUGCAGCUACUUUAGGGAUGAUCUGCUGAUUUCAACCAGCUGUUCAUCAGAGCAGUGUGGCACGUCUGUGAAAAUGAACUGUGGUAAAGUUUCCUCCAUCUGACCAGCGCUCACAUCUCUCUGCUCCUCUGCCAGAACAAAUCUGCAGCUCUCAAACUACAGAUUGUGUUGACUCAUCUCUGUUUGCCCGCCACCACGGACACAAAGAGUAUAGGAGCAGAUCCAGAAACAGACCCGCCCCUCUAUCUCACACUCAGAGCAAAUAGUAAAUUUUAAACACACAAAUUAUUGAUUUUAGUACAAAUUAAACUUUUGAUAAGAGUCAUAACUGAGAGCUUUUUCAGUCCUCUACAUACAAUUUGCUGCAAUAAAAAUGACUGAAGUCAAACUGAGAGACUGAAAACUUUUUAUCUUAUUAAAUAAAACAGAUGAUGAUUUUUGAAGAAGUUUUGGGAAAAAAUGUACAACCGAAAAAUCUAAUAAAUCACAAUAUAUCGCAGUCAGUGUUAUCGCAAUACUCAGCAUAUUGCAACACUGCACUUGUGAUUCACAUCCCUAACUCUCACAGAACAGUUCAAUGACAGUACACAGCAGUUGUGUAAUUAACGUAAAGUUACUGUGGUUAAGUUUAAGAAUAGAAACAUGAGGACGGGUCUUAAAAUGACUCAGAGUUCACACAGAUCCAAACACGUGACUCGGCCCACCAGCCCAACCUGCCUCCUCACAAGCGCUCGGACUGUUUCCUGUUUACUGCUUUUGUUUCCUCACUGUAGCCAGUAUCUCACUGUCACUAUCCUCACUCAGAUUUUAAGAAGCUACAAAUUAUAUUCAGCCACAAAAUAAGUCUGAAAAUCUUUGGUCUGAACUUCACUUUGCAGUCAGCCAUCCUGGAAUAAUGUGAGACCACCUCCACAUCGUAACAACGUUGUUCUGUGAGUCAGAAACACUAGUUUGUUUGUUUUUAUCAGCUGCUGCAGGAAACUUUAGAUUCUUGUCUUGUUGUGAACCAUGAAAGUUUCCAGAGUUAUAAAAGCUGUCAUAAACUGAUUAUAAGUUGGAUCUGUGUUGCUUUAUAUCAGCUGCUGAUAGAGAGCAGCUAGACGGAGAUGGACUGAUAUGAAAAUGUGACUUUAAGAAGCAGAUGGUUUUUCUUGCUUUACAGGACACAUUACAGGAACAAACCUGAGAGUCUGAAAGCAGCGCUGUGUGUGAGCUGUGUCCUCAGACUACCUGAGAACAAGCGCUGUGUUGUGUGACUCAGUGCUGCUGACCAGCUGCAGAUUGCUUCACCUCCCCGAGAGCCCGACACAUGAAGAUAAGUUACUGAUUUCCAUAUUCCAGGAAAAAAAAGGAGGUCUGGGAGGAACCGCUGUGAAAAACAACAUCCUCAGAGAAAGCAAAGGGAGGACAGCGUUGAGUGUUGAGUGUUUGUCUCCCACAGAUAUCAGACGACAAAUGAAAACACGUCAUCAAACAAGUGACCAGCACGGGAACAAAAGCGAGUCCUAAUUAAGCGAAUGUUCUGAUCUAACGAGCUCGAGUCCUGAGCAGGCACCUGGUGUGUUUUAAAUCAGUGUUUUGGAGGUGUAACCGCAGAGUGACACAGACACACCACCGCACAAGUAUUAAUGCUCACACAGGCUCUGCAUAGAGCUGACACACAGAUAUCAAUCCACCUUAAGGUCCGAACACACACAUGAACAUACUGGACCUAUACAUGCACUAAGUGGAGAGAUGUCAGAGUGGGCUGCCCAUGACAGGCGCUCCGAGCGGUUGGGGGGUUUGGUGCCUUGCUCAGGGCACCUCUCCAGCUACCAGUCCACGCUCCAUAUUUUGGUCCGGACGGGGACUUGAGAAAGGACGAGGAAGAAAGCGAAGAAUCUCAGCAGAGAGCUGCCGUCCUCUCUUCAGCCAAUUUGAGCUCCUGAGCUCUAGGAGGCGCUACAGAGUCUUAACUUAAGAAGUUCUUCAUCCCAGCUGACAUCAGGAUCCUCGACACAGUGGGUGCUGAGUUUUAAAGCACAGACAGAUGAUCAGCUGAUUUCAUGUGUUCAGUGUUUAUUCACAUGCUUCAGUCACCAUGUGCUGCCAGUGUUGGAACUGUACAUUUUAUUCGGUGUACGAAUCCUCACAAAUGUCUGUUUUCCCUGACGUUGUAAAGCCUGCCGUAUGCGCACAGCACUGUUUCGUCUUUCCCUGGAUCCCAUCUUGAAAAGCAUCUUUGGCGCUCUCUGACAUUUUGGCGUGAUGUUCCUCGGCUGCAGAUUCAGAGUCAGAGUCACA